AACGAACGCUGGCAGCAGGCCUAACACAUGCAAGUCGAACGAUAAGCCACCUUCGGGUGGUGGACAGUGGCAGACGGGUGAGUAACGCGUGGGAACGUGCCUUUCGGAUCGGGAUAACCCAGGGAAACUUGGGCUAAUACCGGAUACGCCCUUCGGGGGAAAGAUUCAUUGCCGAAGGAUCGGCCCGCGUCGGAUUAGCUAGUUGGUGGGGUAAUGGCCUACCAAGGCGACGAUCCGUAGCUGGUCUGAGAGGAUGACCAGCCACACUGGGACUGAGACACGGCCCAGACUCCUACGGGAGGCAGCAGUGGGGAAUAUUGGACAAUGGGCGAAAGCCUGAUCCAGCCAUGCCGCGUGGGUGAAGAAGGCCUUAGGGUUGUAAACCCCUUUCAGCGGGGACGAUAAUGACGGUACCCGCAGAAGAAGUCCCGGCUAACUCCGUGCCAGCCGCCGCGGUAA
rnacentral:rRNA from 1 species